rnacentral:lncRNA from 1 species
AUUAUUUGUUUGGUAGUUUGGAAUGAUCUUUCAGGCAAAAGUUCUGACAUGCAAUGAUGCCUCAGAGACAAAAGCUGAAGUAAAAAGAAGGUAAGGUUUCCAGCCUAACAUGAUGAAAAAUGUACCAUGGAUCUGGGGACAGCUGUCAGCCCCAGCAGCUUGGAUGUGUCUCCCAAUAAAUGUCUGUUAUUUUUAUGUCUUUCUUUAAAGGGAUGCCACAAAAAGUCCCUUUGGAACUUCAAAUCUUGCCUUGGCUGACCGUCCUUAUUCUUUAAUCCAUACAGUUCAACUGGGAUCUGGUGUAUGAGAAGCAGAAACUGGGUUAGAGUGGGCGUAGAGUGAAGGAAAGGGGAUGAUUUGAUUCUGACAUUCCGAAUCAAACCCAGGAAAAAAUGAAGCCCCUGUAGGUAAAUUCCAAAAAUAUCCCCUCAUCCUCCAAUUUAUAGAAAGUUUGAAGAAUAAAAACAGCAAGAUCAAUGUAUCUUAAUUGUCAAAAUUCAAGGAAGAGCAUGAAAAAAAAACACACUCAACUCUCAAGCUUCAAUGCAACUAACAAUUAAGAAACAAGUAAACGUUAAGGAUCUCUCCUUCCUGUUAUUGGCAAUUCAGUGUUUUCUGCACGGAAAAUACUGAGUAUAUUCAGACUCCUGCACUGGGUCUACAAAUAACUCUGAGUCAGAGAUUAUAUGGCUUAAUACUUGUUCAACAGCACAGUCUGAGAUCAUUAUUAAGUGGGAGGGGGGAAUUGAUAAAGAAAAGAAGAUAAUUGUUUGAUUUACAGGUGCCAGAAGCAACACAUUUUCCACAAUGAAGACUGAGAUUCCUUCUGCUCUGCUUGAUCCCUCCGUGACAAGACAUGGGCCCUUCAAGAUAGAAAGUUUCUGCAUGCAGAGUCUGCUCUCCAGAUUUAUUAAAAAGAAAAGAACCACCCAGAUUUUCCACCUAAUUUUUCUUCAGGUAAAGCAUAAUGAAAAGACCUUGUUUGACCAAACUCUUAAUUAUUCUCAUGUAGGGCUGACAUCCUCAACUUUAGAUUAGUAGGCAACUGUGUCAUAGGAAGUGGAAGUAUUAGUCAAAGAGCACAAAGUUUCAUUUAGAUAAAAUGAAUAACUUCGAGAGAUCUACUGUACAUCAUAGAACCUAUAGUUAGCAAUAAUGUAUUGUAUACAUAAAUUUUGCUAAAAGGGUAAAUCUUGUAUUCAGUCUUCUUGUCAUUAAUAAUAAGAAUAAGAAUAAUAGGGCGCCUGGGUGGCUCAGUGGGUUAAGCCGCUGCCUUCGGCUCAGGUCAUGAUCUCAGGGUCCUGGGAUCGAGUCCCGCAUCGGGCUCUCUGCUCAGCGGGGAGCCUGCUUCCUCCUCUCUCUCUCUGCCUGCCUCUCUGCCUACUUGUGAUCUCUCUCUGUCGAAUAAAUAAAUAAAAUCUUUAAAAAAAAAAAAAAAAAAGAAUAAGAAUAAUAAAUAAGAGAGAGGGAGGAAACUUUUGGAGGGAAUGAAUAGUUUCAUGGCAUAGACCGUGGUGAUGGUUUCAUAGGUGUAUACUUACCACCAAACUCAUCAAGUUAAACACAUUCAUUAUAUACAACUUCUUAUAUGACAAAAAAUUUAAUAUGUAAUAAACAGUCUAAUAAGUUCUGACAAUAUUCCUUCCUGCAUCUUCCCUCUUCCUCUCCACUGUUAUAAAUUGCUAUUAAUUUUUCCUCACAAGUUAUGGUUGCUACAGUUGAAAUAUAAGUUCAUCUUCUAACUCGCUACUCUUCCUCCUUACACUUUCUCAGACUCUGCAACAGAAGGGUCUGUUGUACUGAUCUUUGGAAAUUCUGUCAAAGAGGCAAACCAGCCACAUAGACAUUUGCUGCCAAGAUGAUAGAAGCUCUUCUAUUCUAUGCAAACCUAUUUCACACCAAAGCCUCCAGAACAAGCCAACACAUGUUCUUGCUACUUCUGCCAGCUCUGGCUGGGAAAGGAUGUCUCCACUGAAAGAACAAGUCAGGAGAUGUUUUUGAAUAUUUUGAUAGGAAACAUGGAUUUGUUGGGCAAAGGAAGCCUGCUAAACUUUGUAC